CGGCAUGCUUUACACAUGCAAGUCGAACGGUAACAGGCCGCAAGGUGCUGACGAGUGGCGAACGGGUGAGUAAUGCAUCGGAACGUGCCCGGUCGUGGGGGAUAACACUUCGAAAGAAGUGCUAAUACCGCAUACGAUCUAUGGAUGAAAGCGGGGGACCGUAAGGCCUCGCGCGAUCGGAGCGGCCGAUGUCAGAUUAGGUAGUUGGUGGGGUAAAGGCUCACCAAGCCAACGAUCUGUAGCUGGUCUGAGAGGACGACCAGCCACACUGGGACUGAGACACGGCCCAGACUCCUACGGGAGGCAGCAGUGGGGAAUUUUGGACAAUGGGCGCAAGCCUGAUCCAGCAAUGCCGCGUGCAGGAAGAAGGCCUUCGGGUUGUAAACUGCUUUUGUACGGAACGAAAAGGUCCUGGCUAAUA
rnacentral:rRNA from 1 species